rnacentral:rRNA from 1 species
AAAUUGAAGAGUUUGAUCAUGGCUCAGAUUGAACGCUGGCGGCAGGCCUAACACAUGCAAGUCGAACGGUAGCACAGAGAGCUUGCUCUUGGGUGACGAGUGGCGGACGGGUGAGUAAUGUCUGGGAAACUGCCCGAUGGAGGGGGAUAACUACUGGAAACGGUAGCUAAUACCGCAUAACGUCUUCGGACCAAAGUGGGGGACCUUCGGGCCUCACACCAUCGGAUGUGCCCAGAUGGGAUUAGCUAGUAGGUGGGGUAAUGGCUCACCUAGGCGACGAUCCCUAGCUGGUCUGAGAGGAUGACCAGCCACACUGGAACUGAGACACGGUCCAGACUCCUACGGGAGGCAGCAGUGGGGAAUAUUGCACAAUGGGCGCAAGCCUGAUGCAGCCAUGCCGCGUGUAUGAAGAAGGCCUUCGGGUUGUAAAGUACUUUCAGCGGGGAGGAAGGCGUUAAGGUUAAUAACCUUGGCGAUUGACGUUACCCGCAGAAGAAGCACCGGCUAACUCCGUGCCAGCAGCC